ensembl:snoRNA SNORA70 Small nucleolar RNA SNORA70
UUACAAAGAACUUAUAAGAAGAGAAAGAGAUGUAAUGGCCACAAACAGCAGCCUCGUUGGUAGGUUAGGCAGCCUGUUGCUGUAUGGGUUGCUCUAAGGGACUUUGGAGACCCUC